GAUGAACGCUGGCGGCGUGCUUAACACAUGCAAGUCGAACGGGUCUUAUAUUAGAUAAAGAGGUUUACUUCUUCUAUUUGAUAUAAGACUAGUGGCGGACGGGUGAGUAACGCGUGGAUAACCUACCUUAUACAGGGGGAUAACAACGAGAAAUCGUUGCUAAUACCCCAUACGUAUUGGCAUUGCAUGGUGCUAAUAUAAAAGCUUUAGCGGUAUAAGAUGGGUCCGCGUCUGAUUAGCUAGUUGGUGGGAUAAAAGCCUACCAAGGCAACGAUCAGUAGCCGGCUUGAGAGAGUGAACGGCCACAUUGGGACUGAGACACGGCCCAAACUCCUACGGGAGGUAGCAGUGGGGAAUAUUGCACAAUGGGGGAAACCCUGAUGCAGCGACGCCGCGUGAAGGACGAAGGUUUUCGGAUCGUAAACUUCUAUCAGCAGGGAGGAAGAAAUGACAGUACCUGAAUAAGCAGCCCCGGCUAACUACGUGCCAGCAGCCGCGGUAAUACGUAGGGGGCAAGCGUUAUCCGGAAUCACUGGGUGUAAAGGGUGCGUAGGCGGUAAUGCAAGUCAGAUGUGAAACCCCUUGGCU
rnacentral:rRNA from 1 species